rnacentral:rRNA from 1 species
GACGAACGCUGGCGGCGUGCUUAACACAUGCGAGUCGAACGGAAAGGCCCUGCUUUUGUGGGGUGCUCGAGUGGCGAACGGGUGAGUAACACGUGAGUAACCUGCCCUUGACUUUGGGAUAACUUCAGGAAACUGGGGCUAAUACCGGAUAGGAGCUCCUGCUGCAUGGUGGGGGUUGGAAAGUUUCGGCGGUUGGGGAUGGACUCGCGGCUUAUCAGCUUGUUGGUGGGGUAGUGGCUUACCAAGGCUUUGACGGGUAGCCGGCCUGAGAGGGUGACCGGCCACAUUGGGACUGAGAUACGGCCCAGACGCCUACGGGAGGCAGCAGUGGAGAAUAUUGCACAAUGGGCGGAAGCCUGAUGCAGCAACGCCGCGUGCGGGAAGACGGCCUUCGGGUUGUAAACCGCUUUCGCCUGUGACGAAGCGUGAGUGACGGUAAUGGGUAAAGAAGCACCGGCUAACUACGUG